GGUGGUGUGGCAGAGCGGUCGAUUGCAGCGGAUUCAAACUCCGCCGGGGCAGGCCCUGAGAAAGCAGCCCCCGGGGGUUCGAAUCCCUCCACCACCG
rnacentral:tRNA from 1 species